AUGACCAAUGAGGAAUUUUUGCCCUUGGUCAAGAAAAUUUGGCAAAGGCCUGUUAGAUCCUCUAAUCCAAUUGAUGUGCUUAACAUCAAACUAAAACGAUUCAAACACUUCUUCAAAGGAUGGGGGUCAGACAAGUUUGGUCAUGAGAAAAAAGGAAGAAAGUUAUUAAAGAGGAGCUUGCGGAUAUAGAACUUAUGGAAGAAUACGGCCCUCUCGGACCUGACAUUCUAGCGUAUCACUACCUUGAGUAGUGAAUUGCAACAGCUCAUGUCCAAUGAAGAAUUGUUCUGGCUUUAGCAAUCCCAUGAGACAUGGCUGUUGAAGGGAGACCAGAACACUGCUUUUUUCCAUAGGAUUGCCAAUGGAAAAAAAGAAAAAAAUACCAUCCAUUCCUUUUCAUGUGGUGACACUGUGAUUGAAGGGACAUAUAAUUUGCUCAAACAUGCAACAGACUUCUAUAAGGAACUCUUCGGGCCAGCCCCAGGGAACAUUUUCUAUUUAGAUCCUGAUACUUGGGGACAGGAUGAAAAACUAACAGCCGAGGAAAAUGAGUUUUUGACCAUACCUUUUAGUGAGGAAGAAGUUAAGAAGGCCUUCUUCUCCAUGAAAAGCAAUAGGGCACCUGGCCCCGACAACAUUCUAGCAUAA
rnacentral:rRNA from 1 species